GGCCCGGGUCUAUAGAGUUUGAUCCUCGGCUCAGAGAUGCUGUGCGUAGGCUUAGCUUCCUAUAGACGUUAGCGGCGGACGGGUGAGUAACACGUGGGCAACCUGCCUGUAAGACUGGGAUAACUUCGGGAAACCGAAGCUAAUACCGGAUAGGAUCUUCUCCUUCAUGGGAGAUGAUUGAAAGAUGGUUUCGGCUAUCACUUACAGAUGGGCCCGCGGUGCAUUAGCUAGUUGGUGAGGUAACGGCUCACCAAGGCAACGAUGCAUAGCCGACCUGAGAGGGUGAUCGGCCACACUGGGACUGAGACACGGCCCAGACUCCUACGGGAGGCAGCAGUAGGGAAUCUUCCGCAAUGGACGAAAGUCUGACGGAGCAACGCCGCGUGAGUGAUGAAGGCUUUCGGGUCGUAAAACUCUGUUGUUAGGGAAGAACAAGUACAAGAGUAACUGCUUGUACCUUGACGGUACCUAACCAGAAAGCCACGGCUAACUACGUGCCAGCAGCCGCGGUAAUACGUAGGUGGCAAGCGUUAUCCGGAAUUAUUGGGCGUAAAGCGCGCGCAGGCGGUUUCUUAAGUCUGAUGUGAAAGCCCACGGCUCAACCGUGGAGGGUCAUUGGAAACUGGGGAACUUGAGUGCAGAAGAGAAAAGCGGAAUUCCACGUGUAGCGGUGAAAUGCGUAGAGAUGUGGAGGAACACCAGUGGCGAAAGCGGCGUUUUGGUCUGUAACUGACGCUGAGGCGCGAAAGCGUGGGGAGCAAACAGGAUUAGAUACCCUGGUAGUCCACGCCGUAAACGAUGAGUGCUAAGUGUUAGAGGGUUUCCGCCCUUUACUGCUGCAGCUAACGCAUUAAGCACUCCGCCUGGGGAGUACGGUCGCAAGACUGAAACUCAAACGAAGUGACGGGAGGCCCGGCACAAGCAGGUGGAGCAUGUAGAUUGAAGUCGAAGCAACGCGAACAACCAUUACCAGGUCGUAGUGAGCAUCCUCUGACAACUCUAAAGAUAGAGCGUGCCCCGUCGGGGGACAGAGUGACAGGUGGUGCAUGGUUGUCGUCAGCUCGUGUCGUGAGAUGUUGGGUUAAGUCCCGCAACGAGCGCAACCCUUGAUCUUAGUUGCCAGCAUUUAGUUGGGCACUCUAAGGUGACUGCCGGUGACAAACCGGAGGAAGGUGGGGAUGACGUCAAAUCAUCAUGCCCCUUAUGACCUGGGCUACACACGUGCUACAAUGGAUGGUACAAAGGGCUGCAAGACCGCGAGGUCAAGCCAAUCCCAUAAAACCAUUCUCAGUUCGGAUUGUAGGCUGCAACUCGCCUACAUGAAGCUGGAAUCGCUAGUAAUCGCGGAUCAGCAUGCCGCGGUGAAUACGUUCCCGGGCCUUGUACACACCGCCCGUCACACCACGAGAGUUUGUAACACCCGAAGUCGGUGGAGUAACCGCAACUUUAGAGUUUGAUCCUGGCUCAGCAUGCGGCUGGAUCACCUCCUAGAGUACGACG
rnacentral:rRNA from 2 species